CACGUAGGGCGCAAGCGUUGUCCGGAAUUAUUGGGCGUAAAGAGCUCGUAGGCGGUCUGUUGCGUCCGCUGUGAAAACUCGGGGCUUAACCCCGAGCCUGCAGUGGAUACGGGCAGACUAGAGGUAGGUAGGGGAGAAUGGAAUUCCCGGUGUAGCGGUGAAAUGCGCAGAUAUCAGGAGGAACACCGGUGGCGAAGGCGGGUCUCUGGGCCGAUAUUGACGCUGAGGCGCGACAGCGUGGGGAGCAAACAGG
rnacentral:rRNA from 1 species